CAGCAAAGGGGCAUGAUAUAGUGACAAAUCUUUGCAUUGAAGGUUGGCAAUAACAAAUGCAGUUCUCUCUGCUGCUCAAACUUACUCUAUUGCGAUGGCCUUGAACAAUCUGCUACAUC